ACUAAGCGUACACGGUGGAUGCCCUGGCAGUCAGAGGCGAUGAAGGACGUGCUAAUCUGCGAUAAGCGUCGGUGAGGUGAUAUGAACCGUUAUAACCGGCGAUUUCCGAAUGGGGAAACCCAGUGUGUUUCGACACACUAUCAUUAACUGAAUCCAUAGGUUAAUGAGGCGAACCGGGGGAACUGAAACAUCUAAGUACCCCGAGGAAAAGAAAUCAACCGAGAUUCCCCCAGUAGCGGCGAGCGAACGGGGAGGAGCCCAGAGCCUGAAUCAGUGUGUGUGUUAGUGGAAGCGUCUGGAAAGGCGCGCGAUACAGGGUGACAGCCCCGUACACAAAAAUGCACAUAUUGUGAGCUCGAUGAGUAGGGCGGGACACGUGGUAUCCUGUCUGAAUAUGGGGGGACCAUCCUCCAAGGCUAAAUACUCCUGACUGACCGAUAGUGAACCAGUACCGUGAGGGAAAGGCGAAAAGAACCCCGGCGAGGGGAGUGAAAAAGAACCUGAAACCGUGUACGUACAAGCAGUGGGAGCCUCUUAAUGGGGUGACUGCGUACCUUUUGUAUAAUGGGUCAGCGACUUAUAUUCUGUAGCAAGGUUAACCGAAUAGGGGAGCCGAAGGGAAACCGAGUCUUAACUGGGCGUUAAGUUGCAGGGUAUAGACCCGAAACCCGGUGAUCUAGCCAUGGGCAGGUUGAAGGUUGGGUAACACUAACUGGAGGACCGAACCGACUAAUGUUGAAAAAUUAGCGGAUGACUUGUGGCUGGGGGUGAAAGGCCAAUCAAACCGGGAGAUAGCUGGUUCUCCCCGAAAGCUAUUUAGGUAGCGCCUCGUGAAUUCAUCUCCGGGGGUAGAGCACUGUUUCGGCAAGGGGGUCAUCCCGACUUACCAACCCGAUGCAAACUGCGAAUACCGGAGAAUGUUAUCACGGGAGACACACGGCGGGUGCUAACGUCCGUCGUGAAGAGGGAAACAACCCAGACCGCCAGCUAAGGUCCCAAAGUCAUGGUUAAGUGGGAAACGAUGUGGGAAGGCCCAGACAGCCAGGAUGUUGGCUUAGAAGCAGCCAUCAUUUAAAGAAAGCGUAAUAGCUCACUGGUCGAGUCGGCCUGCGCGGAAGAUGUAACGGGGCUAAACCAUGCACCGAAGCUGCGGCAGCGACACUAUGUGUUGUUGGGUAGGGGAGCGUUCUGUAAGCCUGUGAAGGUGGCCUGUGAGGGUUGCUGGAGGUAUCAGAAGUGCGAAUGCUGACAUAAGUAACGAUAAAGCGGGUGAAAAGCCCGCUCGCCGGAAGACCAAGGGUUCCUGUCCAACGUUAAUCGGGGCAGGGUGAGUCGACCCCUAAGGCGAGGCCGAAAGGCGUAGUCGAUGGGAAACAGGUUAAUAUUCCUGUACUUGGUGUUACUGCGAAGGGGGGACGGAGAAGGCUAUGUUGGCCGGGCGACGGUUGUCCCGGUUUAAGCGUGUAGGCUGGUUUUCCAGGCAAAUCCGGAAAACCAAGGCUGAGGCGUGAUGACGAGGCACUACGGUGCUGAAGCGACAAAUGCCCUGCUUCCAGGAAAAGCCUCUAAGCAUCAGGUAACAUCAAAUCGUACCCCAAACCGACACAGGUGGUCAGGUAGAGAAUACCAAGGCGCUUGAGAGAACUCGGGUGAAGGAACUAGGCAAAAUGGUGCCGUAACUUCGGGAGAAGGCACGCUGAUAUGUAGGUGAAGCGACUUGCUCGUGGAGCUGAAAUCAGUCGAAGAUACCAGCUGGCUGCAACUGUUUAUUAAAAACACAGCACUGUGCAAACACGAAAGUGGACGUAUACGGUGUGACGCCUGCCCGGUGCCGGAAGGUUAAUUGAUGGGGUUAGCGGUAACGCGAAGCUCUUGAUCGAAGCCCCGGUAAACGGCGGCCGUAACUAUAACGGUCCUAAGGUAGCGAAAUUCCUUGUCGGGUAAGUUCCGACCUGCACGAAUGGCGUAAUGAUGGCCAGGCUGUCUCCACCCGAGACUCAGUGAAAUUGAACUCGCUGUGAAGAUGCAGUGUACCCGCGGCAAGACGGAAAGACCCCGUGAACCUUUACUAUAGCUUGACACUGAACAUUGAGCCUUGAUGUGUAGGAUAGGUGGGAGGCUUUGAAGUGUGGACGCCAGUCUGCAUGGAGCCGACCUUGAAAUACCACCCUUUAAUGUUUGAUGUUCUAACGUGGGCCCCUAAUCGGGGUUGCGGACAGUGUCUGGUGGGUAGUUUGACUGGGGCGGUCUCCUCCUAAAGAGUAACGGAGGAGCACGAAGGUUGGCUAAUCCUGGUCGGACAUCAGGAGGUUAGUGCAAUGGCAUAAGCCAGCUUGACUGCGAGCGUGACGGCGCGAGCAGGUGCGAAAGCAGGUCAUAGUGAUCCGGUGGUUCUGAAUGGAAGGGCCAUCGCUCAACGGAUAAAAGGUACUCCGGGGAUAACAGGCUGAUACCGCCCAAGAGUUCAUAUCGACGGCGGUGUUUGGCACCUCGAUGUCGGCUCAUCACAUCCUGGGGCUGAAGUAGGUCCCAAGGGUAUGGCUGUUCGCCAUUUAAAGUGGUACGCGAGCUGGGUUUAGAACGUCGUGAGACAGUUCGGUCCCUAUCUGCCGUGGGCGCUGGAGAACUGAGGGGGGCUGCUCCUAGUACGAGAGGACCGGAGUGGACGCAUCACUGGUGUUCGGGUUGUCAUGCCAAUGGCACUGCCCGGUAGCUAAAUGCGGAAGAGAUAAGUGCUGAAAGCAUCUAAGCACGAAACUUGCCCCGAGAUGAGUUCUCCCUGAGACUUAGAGUCUCCUGAAGGAACGUUGAAGACGACGACGUUGAUAGGCCGGGUGUGUAAGCGCAGCGAUGCGUUGAGCUAACCGGUACUAAUGAACCGUGAGGCUUAACC
rnacentral:rRNA from 1 species